GCGGCUAUGGUAUAACGGUCAUUACUGAAGCUUGUGGAGCUUUAAACCAGGGUUCGACUCCCUGUAGCCGCCCA
rnacentral:tRNA from 1 species